rnacentral:rRNA from 1 species
GACGAAGGGGGCUAGCGUUGUUCGGAUUCACUGGGCGUAAAGGGUGCGUAGGUGGCGAAUCAAGUCAGCUGUGAAAUCUCCGAGCUUAACUCGGAACGGUCAGCUGAUACUGUUUUGCUAGAGUGCAGAAAGGGCAACCGGAAUUCUUGGUGUAGCGGUGAAAUGCGUAGAUAUCAAGAGGAACACCUGAGGCGAAGGCGGGUUGCUAGGCUGACACUGACGCUGAAGCGCGAAAGCUAGGGUAGCAAACGGG